UCACUGUCAUUUAGGAGUUAAAUCACUUUGUUUCUGUUUAUGCAGCCCUAGCCACACCUCCCCUGGCUAUGAUUGACAGAGCCUGCAUGAAUAAAAAAAACUGGUUUCACUUUCAAACAGAUGUAAUUUACCUUAAAUAAUUGUAUCUCAAUCUCUAAAUUGAACUUUAAUCACAUACAGGAGGCUCUUGCAGGGUCUAGCAAGCUAUUAACAUAGCAGGGGAUAAGAAAAUCUUAAUUAAACAGAACUUGCAAUAAAGAAAGCCUAAAUAGGGCUCUCUUUACAGGAAGUGUUUAUGGAAGGCUG